rnacentral:rRNA from 1 species
AGUGAACGCUGGCGGUAGGCCUAACACAUGCAAGUCGAACGGCAGCACAGUAAGAGCUUGCUCUUACGGGUGGCGAGUGGCGGACGGGUGAGGAAUACAUCGGAAUCUACUUUUUCGUGGGGGAUAACGUAGGGAAACUUACGCUAAUACCGCAUACGACCUACGGGUGAAAGCAGGGGAUCUUCGGACCUUGCGCGAUUGAAUGAGCCGAUGUCGGAUUAGCUAGUUGGCGGGGUAAAGGCCCACCAAGGCGACGAUCCGUAGCUGGUCUGAGAGGAUGAUCAGCCACACUGGAGCUGAGACACGGUCCAGACUCCUACGUGAGGCAGCAGUGGGGAAUAUUGGACAAUGGGCGCAAGCCUGAUCCAGCCAUACCGCGUGGGUGAAGAAGGCCUUCGGGUUGUAAAGCCCUUUUGUUGGGAAAGAAAAGCAGCAGGUUAAUACCCCGCUGUUCUGACGGUACCCAAAGAAUAAGCACCGGCUAACUUCGUG